rnacentral:tRNA from 3 species
AGGGGUAUAGCUCAGUUGGUAGAGCAGCGGUCUCCAAAACCGCGUGCCGUGGGUUCAAGUCCUACUACCCCUGCCA